GCAUACCAGAAGAAGCAGCACUAUAGAAACCCCAGCUUAAAAUAUCUCCAACUGUGAGGUUUCUGUAAGACAGAUUAAAAAAAAAAAAAAAAAAAAGAAAAGCCCC